AAGAAAUCCGGCGCCCCAGCCAAUGGCGGGGCGAGCCGUUUCCUGGCUCCGCCCCCAGCAGUGCCUAGGAAGGUCACCCGCCGGCCCCGAGCAGGGUUCCUGGGGGUGUGGGAGUGCGGGAGGCGACCUGCGCUUGUCCCGCGGCCUCGAGGUGACACACGCCGCCAGUCUGCGUCCCCGGCUGUCUGCGCAUCCCGUCGCGCACGUGGCCGGGCGCGCGGGGAGGUAGCGCCGGCUCCUCUGGAAGCCCUCGCAGCGGCAGCGCCCCCAGCCUCGCAGCCCCGGCGGGGGCCGAGAGCGCACCUGGCUGGAGAUGCUUCCUCCUCACCCUGGGCUCUGACCUCACGCCCGCAGCCCGAGGGCCCUCCCUGGUACCUCUGCCCUGCUGGCCGGUGCCUGGAGUGGCCCCGCCCGACUCCUGCCGUCUGACACGGUCCUGGCUGCCCUCCGGGCUCUCCAGCAGCUGCUGUCCACCUCCACCAGGGAGCCCACCUUGAUUGCUGCGACAGCCGCACUCAAAGGCUGAACAGCCGGGGUACACAUUGCCCUGGUCUGGACUUCACCCUGUCGUGCCCCUUCCCUGCUCUCUGUACAGAAGUCUGACUCACCUGUGUGGUUUGGUGCAAACCCACAGAUUGCCAACAUUGGUCCAAAGUCACCGGCCUGAGAGCAGCUCAGGGUUCCAGGACUCACCAUCGCUGUCCCUGCGCUGACCACUCACACACCACUCCCCUGUUCAGCUCUUCUGAGGCUGUGGCUCUCGGGACUGGCCCAGGCCCACCUGCCAUCUGGGCGCCCUCUGGGGCUCGCUUCGUCGCCCGCUGCCUGGGCCCAUGCCUGUGCUCCUGGGGGCUCCUCUCUUGCCUAGCUCAUCUCUUCCUGUCCCUUGGGUCCUGAGGAUCAAAGCCAACGCGACAUUGUUUGUCCCCAGGCCCCUCCCCCUCCAGCCGCUGCUUCCCAGAGCUCUGUCCAGUUCUCUCCCGCAGUACGAGGGCAGGGUUGGGGCUGGUGGGUUAGCCUUCCCCCACCCACCACGCACCCAGCACAGGGCUCCCCCGAGAUCAGAUCCCUGGUAGGAUGACACCCCAAGCCUUCCCCUCCAGCAGUAUCCACACAGCACCUGCGAAGGAGGAGGGGCUGCUGCCCAUGUGGGUCCUCCCGGGGACCUACCUGAGGGUCCAGUGGGGCUGCCCUCUUCUGUGCUGGACACGCAGCAGAGGUGGGCAGAGAUGCUGGAGAGCACGGUAGGUCUAGGGGGUGACCACUACAGUUGAGUUCAUGUCAGGCUCCAGGCCAGUCUUCCCUGAGUCAUCCUGGCCGUAGAAGACCAGGCUCUGGCGGGCAGGCACCCCACCCUGGCUCUCCCUAGGCCCCGGGUCUUGCUCUGAAACCCUCAAGUGUCCCUUAACUAAGAUCCAGGAGGACUUGCUCCUUCAGAAAGCACGGUGUGCCUGUCCUCCACGGCCCUCCUCCCGCUCACUCCAGGUGUGCUGGAGAUUCCUCCAGGCCUCCAGAUGGGAUUCCUGCCACACAGGCCUCGGUGAAAGCCUCCGGAGGGCUCCUGCGUGGGGGUCCAGCAGCCUGGCCCUGGAGUGGAGGGCAGGGCAGGGCCAGAGGCAGCCCUUUCCCUAAAGUGUGACAUCUUUGU
rnacentral:lncRNA from 1 species